rnacentral:rRNA from 1 species
CAGUAGCCGCGGUAAUACGAAGGGGGCUAGCGUUGUUCGGAUUUACUGGGCGUAAAGGGCGCGUAGGCGGAUUUGUAAGUCAGGGGUGAAAUCCCGAGGCUCAACCUCGGAACUGCCUUUGAUACUGUGGAUCUUGAGUCCGGGAGAGGUGAGUGGAACUGCGAGUGUAGAGGUGAAAUUCGUAGAUAUUCGCAAGAACACCAGUGGCGAAGGCGGCUCACUGGCCCGGAACUGACGCUGAGGCGCGAAAGCGUGGGGAGCAAACAGGAUUAGAUACCCCGGUAGUCCCUGUCUCUUAUAC